rnacentral:rRNA from 1 species
CACGUAGGGGGCAAGCGUUGUCCGGAUUUAUUGGGCGUAAAGAGCUCGUAGGCGGUUCGGCAAGUCGGGUGUGAAAUUUCGAGGCUCAACCUCGAAACGCCACUCGAUACUGCUGUGACUGGAGUCCGGUAGAGGAGUGCGGAAUUCCUGGUGUAGCGGUGAAAUGCGCAGAUAUCAGGAGGAACACCAAUUGCGAAGGCAGCUCGCUGGGACGUUACUGACGCUGAGACGCGAAAGCGUGGGGAGCAAACAGG